AUUAUUGUGGUGCUUCCAUGUAGUGAGGGUCCAGAUAGAUUGCAAUGGUGUUUGAGAGGCAUUUGGGUGUUUGAUGUUCUGUCUUCUAUGGUUUGUUGUGAGGCGGCCCAAGGGAGAUUUCUUUUCCCUGAAUAGAAAGUUGAUGGACCCCAAUGGGAUACUGAACCCAUAUAAAGUUCUUCCAUACUCAAUUGUUUCUUACAGCUGAGAUAAGCUGAAAUUCAACAUUCCCUGAGGUAGCAAGCAUGAUGGUUUUGUCUCAAGUUGUAGCAAGUGGACAUAACUGAGCUACAGCUCAGUGGGAUGCAAUUCUAUUAAACUAUGAAGUUAGAGAUGUUCAAUACUAUCUGGCAUCUGAUUGGAGAAGGAGCAAGUUCUAUUAAAUAGAAAGCACUAGUAAUUGUAUGGCACUUGAAGAUAGUAAUCUCCAUGCCAUGGCAAUGAGUUGUGUAGUUGAUGAGUACCUAAACAGUACUGAAGAUUAAAUGAAAUAAAAGCAUAUUCCUAUGAA